AUUGAACGCUGGCGGCAUGCCUUACACAUGCAAGUCGAACGGCAGCACGGGUGCUUGCACCUGGUGGCGAGUGGCGAACGGGUGAGUAAUACAUCGGAACGUACCUUAUCGUGGGGGAUAACGCAGCGAAAGCUGUGCUAAUACCGCAUACGCCCUGAGGGGGAAAGCGGGGGAUCGAAAGACCUCGCGCGAUUAGAGCGGCCGAUGCCUGAUUAGCUUGUUGGUGGGGUAAAAGCCCACCAAGGCGACGAUCAGUAGAUGGUCUGAGAGGACGAUCAGCCACACGGGGACUGAGACACGGCCCAGACUCCUACGGGAUGCAGCAGUGGGGAAUUUUUGACAAUGGGGGCAACCCUGAUCCAGCAAUGCCGCGUGAGUGAAGAAGGCCUUCGGGUUGUAAAGCUCUUUUGUCAGGGAAGAAACACCGGCUCUAACACAGUCCGGGAAUGACGGUACCUGAAGAAUAAGCACCGGCUAACUACGUGCCAGCCGCCGCCGUAA
rnacentral:rRNA from 1 species